ensembl:lncRNA
CACCACACCCGGCAAUUUUGUAUUUUUAAUAGAGAUGGGGUUUCUUCAUGUUGGUUAGGCUGGUCUCGAACUCCCAACCUCAGGUGAUCCACCCGCCUCGGCCUCCCAAAGUGCUGGGAUUACAGGCAUGAAUCACUGAGCCUGGCCAGAUCCAAUAUAAUUUUAGAAUUCUUACUCUGAAGAAGAGUUCAGAGAUAAGAAGGGAAUACUAAAAUGAAGCAGUAUAUAGGGCAUAAUAUAGCCUUUAAGAUGCACAUUGCUGUGUGGAAAAGUUGGAACAGGGCCUUUAUCUGUACGUUGGUGGCUUUGGGACAGAACUCUGAUAGCUGUUUUGCAGUUCUUAUAUGAACUAGCACCAUGUCAAGCCCUUCACAUACAUUGCCAUUCAAUCUUAUGAGAACUCAUGUGGUUUGCUCAUUUUACUGAUAAAUAAACUGAAAUCAAGGUUAUUCAGCUAGGAAUAGUCAAGGUGACCUUCAAACCCAGAAGGUCUGACACCAGAACUCACACUCAAUUGCUGCAUUUAACUGUCACCACUCUGUGUAGACACUAGGAAUCUUAUUUAUGCAAAGGCCUUGGUAGCGAUGGCUACGUUCUGAAGACUCUGGGAUUUAGAUGGUGUACAAAGUAAAGGAGCAUUAAAGAAUGUUGCCUCAUUGGAUGCCUGGAAGGCAGGUAACUUGCAUCCAGAGUUGGAGAGAAGGCAGAUAUGUGAGCUAAAAUGGGACACUGACCUUGUCAUCCAGGAAGUUUCCUCAGAGUGUCUGCUUUCUGAGAUACCCAUUGAAAGUAUGUCUUCUAUGGGGAAAAAAGGUCUGUAUGAUCCCUUAAAGACUCGACUACCUAAAGCUGAUGGAAAGAGCACAGUUCUCAGAGAGCCUUGCUGUAUUGUCUAGAUUGGAGUGCAAUGGCACGAUCUCUGCUCACUGCAACCUCCGCCUCCCAGGUUCAAGCAAUUCUCCUGCCUCAGCCUCCCAAGUAGCUGGGAUUACAGGCACUUGCCACCACAACCGGCCUUUUUUUUUGUAUUUUUAGUAGAGAUAGGGUUUUACCAUGUUGGCCAGGGUGGUCUCAAACUCCUGACCUCAGGUAAUCCACCCGCCUCGACUCCCAAAAUGCUGGGAUUACAGGCUUGAGCCACUGUGCUUGGCCUUGUGAUCUUUUAAAAAAUAUUUUUUUCUUUUUCUUUUUUUUUUUUGAGACGGAGUCUCGCUCUGUCGCCCAGGCUGGAGUGCAGCGGCCGGAUCUCAGCUCACUGCAAGCUCCGCCUCCCGGGUUCACGCCAUUCUCCGGCCUCAGCCUCCCGAGUAGCUGGGACUACAGGCGCCCGCCACCUCGCCCGGCUAGUUUUUUGUAUUUCUUAAUAGAGACGGGGUUUCACCCUGUUAGCCAGGAUGGUCUCGAUCUCCUGACCUCGUGAUCCGCCCGUCUCGGCCUCCCAAAGUGCUGGGAUUACAGGCUUGAGCCACCGCGCCCGGCAAAAAUAUUUUUUUCUUACUUUUGUUCCCAUUAUCUGAUGGAGGAAGAAAAUGAACUCAUCUAUCAACCGACUUACUGGGAGCCUGGUGCUCAUUUCCUAUUGGUUCCACAUUCACUCCUUAGUGCUCCUGCGCCACUCUGAAAUCCCUUCCUAGUUUUACCCAGCUGGAAACGCCACUACCUUAGCCACACUGAAGUUCCUCUACAUUCUUCAUUUCUGCACGUGCAGGCAAGUAAAACCAUAGGGAUUUCUGUGGGCGUUGUCAGGAGCUGAAAGAUUGGGAAUGCUUUUUAAAACUCCUUCUCCAUUGAGUUUAAGAGGAAAUGGGCUAGUUUUCCCAUUAUUUUGGAAAGACAGCAGAUGCCUCUUCAUUUACCUCUUUAUUUUACCCUCCCAUGCCCAGUACUGUCCUACCACUAAGAGUGAGUAUGUAGGUUGCUGCAUUCUGGCCUUGUUCUAAGAAGAAGUGUUUCAUCAUCUACCACCACCAAUACUCCCCUCACCCCUGGUGCCUUAAGGAAGGGCUGGGCUGCUGAGUGGCGGGCGGGGGCUGUCUGAGGAUGGGAGGGGGAAAUAAGAUGGAACAGAGUGGAGAUAAAAAAAAACCAGGAGAAAAGUUAUUGUUUGAGAAAUGGAAAUCUUGGAUUAGGAUUUUUUUUUGCAAGAUGAUUAAGCCAUUUUAGAAACAUGACUCAUAUUGUCUUCUGCCCUUUCUUCCUUCAAGUAAUUAUGAAGAACAUAUACUUGGAAGAUUCUAAUAAAAUUAUGAGCAAUAUUAGAUCACUUUAAUUCCCGUUUACAGAGGACAGCAGUCCAGUAUCUAACUGUGAGAGGAAAAUGAGUCUUUGCUUCUAGGGGGCACCAUCAUUUACGAAAACCAAAGACGACCAGUUUGACUGUUUUUACUUGUACCCCUCUCUUUCUUGACUUUUCGCAUUUUUUUUCUUAAGAUUUUAUCAAAGUGAUACAUGCAUCUAGACUAAAGAGUCAGGUAUUUCUACUUAAAGGGCCAGAUAUUUCUCUGUUUAUUUUUUUAAAAAUAGAGGCUUUAGCUUCCAUCCUCCUCCAAUUUCUGUUUCCCAAGGCAACUACUUUCAACUCUUUUACCUGAUGUGUGUGUGUGUUUACGUGUGUGUGCAUGUGCACGUGUGUGUGUGCAUGUGUGCACGUGUGUGCUUUCCACUGUGGAAUAUGAACCCUUAGUUCUUCCUCACCCUCAUUCCCCUGGCAAACCCCUUCUGUCUCCCACUUUUCAGUAUAGUUUUAUUGUAAUGGUAAAAUCAAUAUUUAGUGUUUAAAAUAUUAUGCCAAUGCAAAUGCUAUUCGUGGUGAAAUCAUGUAUUAAACUGCAAUUAAUUUUUCUUUCCUGUACACAUUUUUGUUUCCAUUGAUUUAACAAUUACCUUGUUUUGUUUGCUUUUUGUCCUCAAUUCCAUCAUCAAGUAUCCUCAAAUUUUAUUUGCCUGAGAAAAUUUCUCCUGGAUCUUCAUA